AAAGUCGUAACAAGGUCUCCGUAGGUGAACCUGCGGAGGGAUCAUUAACACAGAAAAAGGGCUGGAGCACCCGCAAGGGGAGACUAGCCGCCUUUUCUUAUCUCACCCAUCUCACGUGAACUAUGAUGCCCUAACUCUGCUAGCAGUGGCGGCGUGACUGCCGCUUGCUGCUGCUUUUUUUGCUAUUUUUUGCAAAACCUUUUCCAACACCAACACCAACUGUUUUCUUUUUGUUUAUUUUUUGUUGGUUCUCACACUAGUGUGAACUAAUAAGAAAUAAAUGAUAAAAAACUAACGUAAAAAAGUACAACUCUUAGCAACGGAUAUCUUGGUUCUC
rnacentral:misc_RNA from 1 species